GACGAACGCUGGCGGCGCGCCUAACACAUGCAAGUCGAACGAGCGAGCGAGAGCUUGCUUUCUCGAUCGAGUGGCGAACGGGUGAGUAACGCGUGAGGAACCUGCCUCAAAGAUUGGGACAACAGUUGGAAACGACUGCUAAUACCGCAUAAGCGCACGGCCCGGCAUCGAGCAGGGGGAAAAGGAGCAAUCCGCUUUGAGAUCGCCUCGCGUCCGAUUAUCUAGUUGGUGGGGUAACGUCCCACCAAGGAGACGAUCGGUAGCCGGACUGAGAGGUUGAACGGCCAGAUUGGAAAUGAGACACGGCCCAGAAUGAUACGGGAGGCAGCAGUGGAGAAUAUUGCAGAAUGGGGGCAAAAGUGGUGCCGCGACGUCGCGUGGAGGAAGAAGGUCUUCGGAUUGUAAACUCCUGUGGUUGGGGAAGAUAAUGACGGUACCCAACAAGGAAGUGACGGCUAACUACGUG
rnacentral:rRNA from 1 species